rnacentral:rRNA from 1 species
CCCUUAGAUGUUCUGGGCCGCACGCGCGCUACACUGACGAAGUCAGCGAGCAUGUCCUACGCCGACAGGUGCGGGGAAUCUUGUCAAACUUCGUCGUGAUGGGGAUUGAUUAUUGAAAUUCUUGAUCAUCAACGAGGAAUUCCCAGUAAGCGCGAGUCAUAAGCUCGCGUUGAUUACGUCCCUGCCCUUUGUACACACCGCCCGUCGCUACUACCGAUUGAACGGUUUAGUGAGGGCCUCGGAUUGGUCUCGGCCCGCUCUUUACCGGGCGGCGCCGUUGGUCGAGAAGACGCUCGAACUUGAUCGUUUAGAGGAAGUAAAAGUCGUAACA